rnacentral:lncRNA from 7 species
CUCGUGGGACCGAGUAAUCAGGCAUGUCGUCUCCGUGAAGAGCAUGGAAACCUCAACAGAAUCCCGGGCAAAUCACCCCAACUGGUAGCCGACUCCCCGUAUUAAGAUGGUGCGUACCCUGCGCGCUCCUAAGCUCUGGGUUCCACGAAUCCUCUAAGUCGUCACUGUCAGCGCCAGUGGUGACAAAAUGGGGAGAGAGAGGAGGUAGCCGCCGCGUUGAUUUCUCGGACCGCCACCGUCCGGGUUGCAAGGAGGGUGUGAUUGGUGUUCGCGGUUGGGCGUGGGUCGUCUGCAAGCAAGCCUCUUGGCGCGAGGGUCGUCGGGGUCCAUUCAAUUCGUCGUCGGAGUGCUCCAUGCGACUGUUCUGCGGUCGGUCGCGAUCGACCUACCUGGGCACCCAAUUAGCCGGU